CCCAGGGAGAGCCCUUGCUGCCUCAGGCAGUGACCCUGCAUUCCAGGUUGUCCUGCUCAAUCCGUUGGGAUUCCUAAGGUGGUUUAUUUCAAUGUCAGGAGCCUCCAUGACACGAGGGCAGUGAUCAUCCCCCUGGGCCGGGCACGGUGAGGUCAGACCUCAAAUCUUGGGGUCAGUUUUGGGCCCCACACGACAAUAAAGACAUUGAGGUGCUGGAGUA